GAUCCCAAGCCUUCUGGCGUUCUGUUUAUUAAAUUCCAAAAGUAAUAAAAACAUUUAGGAGCGUUUAAAAAAACAAACCAAAAGCAUUUAAGAAACAUAUAUGUUUGUUAAACAUAUCUUUUAUCUGUCCCGAGGAAGGUUUUUACCAAUUCACUCCUGAGGGCUUGUAGCUCAGUUGGUUAGAGCGCGCGCUUGAUAAGCGUGAGGUCGGAGGUUCAAGUCCUCCCAGGCCCACCAAUUUAUGAUCGCUGAUAAAGUUUUUUGCGAACGUUUUGAUAGUCUUUUGUGUUGCAAUCUUUCACUUUUAUGUUGCACUUUUAAAAGUUAUUUGAGCUGUUUUAGGGGCCGUAGCUCAGCUGGGAGAGCACCUGCUUUGCAAGCAGGGG
rnacentral:misc_RNA from 1 species